CUCUGAUUUUAUUUUUCACAGUUAUUUUUAACAGUGUCGAUUCUGCCCUCCAGAUUGGAGACUAGAUUGACAUAAACUCAAUUCAGUGGUAUGUGAGAAUCUUGCUGGUGCAGAUGGACAAGGAAUGGUGGCUUGACACCCUGGCUGACAUCUUUAAAGAUUUCACGAGACUUUAGGAAGCUAUAUCCAGAGGCA